AUUACUAUAUAAAUUCUUUUAAAUGUACUUUUAGACUUAUAAUCUUUUAUUCAGAAUCCAUGUACUUCACAACAUCAACUUGUAAAGGAGGGACUGAUGGAGAUUGUAAAGCAGUUAAAUUAUAUCCCUCAGAGUUACAUGGGCGAGACUGUGAAAACGUAUUCACACCUACAUUUGGGGGAGUGUUACAAUUGAGGACAGACCCCGCCAUGAACAAGGGAACAGCUGUAAUGGAGACUAGGAAGAUGUAUAAAUAUUAUCACGAGGGAAAUUAUUUGUAACAGAAGAUGACAA
rnacentral:lncRNA from 1 species